rnacentral:rRNA from 1 species
GCAUAACGCGAAGAACCUUACCAGGUCUUGACAUCCCUCUGAAUCCUCUAGAGAUAGAGGCGGCCUUCGGGACAGAGGAGACAGGUGGUGCAUGGUUGUCGUCAGCUCGUGUCGUGAGAUGUUGGGUUAAGUCCCGCAACGAGCGCAACCCUUGAUUUUAGUUGCCAGCACAUUAAGGUGGGCACUCUAGAAUGACUGCCGGUGACAAACCGGAGGAAGGCGGGGAUGACGUCAAAUCAUCAUCGCCCCUUAUGACCUGGGCUACACACGUACUACAAUGGCCAGUACAACGGGAAGCGAAGUCGCGAGACGGAGCCAAUCCUAUCAAAGCUGGUCUCAGUUCGGAUUGCAGGCUGCAACCCGCCUGCAUGAAGUCGGAAUUGCUAGUAAUCGCGGAUCAGCAUGCCGCGGUGAAUACGUUCCCGGGUCUUGUACACACCG